GACGAACGCUGGCGGCGUGCCUAAUACAUGCAAGUAGAACGCACAGUUUAUACCGUAGCUUGCUACACCAUAGACUGUGAGUUGCGAACGAGUGAGUAACGCGUAGGUAACCUGCCUGGUAGCGGGGGAUAACUAUUGGAAACGAUAGCUAAUACCGCAUAAUAUUGAUUAUUGCAUGAUAAUUGAUUUAAAGAUGCUAUUGCAUCACUACCAGAUGGACCUGCGUUGUAUUAGCUAGUAGGUGAGGUAACGGCUCACCUAGGCGACGAUACAUAGCCGAACUGGGAGGGUGGUCGGCCGCCCUGGGAGGUGGACGCGGCCCCGACGCCUACGGGAGGCAGCAGUAGGGAACCUUCGGCAAUGGAGGAGAGUCUGACCGAGCAACGCCGCGUGAGUGAAGAAGGUGUUCGGAUCGUAAAGAUCUGUUGUAAGUGGAGAACGGGUGUGGGAGUGGAAAGUUCACACUGUGACGGUAUCUUACCAGAAAGGGACGGCUAACUACGUG
rnacentral:rRNA from 1 species